UCCUCGCUGCCUUCAUUAAAAUUUUCCCCAAACCCCAUCCCCGCACCACAAUCCUCCCUACUUUGUGUUCGUGGAGCAUCUCUUCCCACUACAUUCAUCAAAUUUUCCCCCAAACCCUUUCCCCACACCACAAUCCUCCCCUGCUUCGUGUUCGUGGAGUGUCUUCCCCUGCUUGGGCUAAGCGUCAAGGUCGAGGCGGCGAGGUCGAGAUGACAAGGUCGAGACGACAAGGUCGAGACGGCAAGGUUGAGGCGACGAGGCGUCGAGGACUCUGCUGAAGGCGAUUUUUAUCACUUCCGUCUCCAACCCCUCAAAUUCAAAUACUCCCUGGAACAGGAGGAGUACGCAGUGUGGAAGAUGGCGGAUUGUUUCGUCGUGGCUAAGGAGAAAUGUGUUGGCUUCUCCAGGGAGAAUUGGUUCCCUUUAGGGAUGCGAGGAUUAAGGUUGCGAAAGGGGUUUUGAGUUCCAAGGGUGUUGGGAAGCUGAUUGGUUGGGGAUCGGUGCCUGUGAGUGGGAGGAAGAUGUGGUUGAUGAAUCAAAUGGGUCUGAUUGGUGGUGAUUUCGGAAAAAAAUGUUUCUAUCAGAGCAUUCUAGCAAGGUUCAUCAACAGAUACCAAUAUACGAUGAAGUUGAAACGAUAUAUUCAUGAUCCACUACUUUCUCAGCUACUUCGUUCAGCAGGUCAGACUUGCAACUUUUAGCACCAUUAUUGGAAGCUUUGCCUGAUUCACUCUCUCCUGGUUUGCGUGACAUUCUCAAAUUGACAGAAGGAAAAUAAAGACCACAAGGAACAACAGUGACAUAGCAGGAAGUGAUCGAGAGAGGAAUAAUAUUGGAAAAUCAUUUCAGAAUCUGUCUUGGUUUUUUGGUACACUUUUGCCCCUGGAAUGUUACAGAAGAAGGUUCUAGCUAUUCGUACUAAGAUGUAUAUCAUAUUGGAGUUUAUUACAGGCGGUGAAUUGUUUGAUAAAAUUGUAAGCUUUCUUCAUGUCUCAACGAAGCUGACUGUAGAAGAUACUUCCAACAACUUAUUGAUGUGUAAAUUAUUACCAUAGUAAAGCCUGAAAAUCUUUUACUUGAUUCACAAGGAAAUAUUAAAAUUUCAGAUUUUGGUUUGAGUGCAUUUUCAAAACAGGAACUGUUUGGCUUGAGAAUGCAUCCAAUUCGUCAUCUCUCGAGUGUUUUAAUGGUGAUUCUGAGUCCAAUGAAGAAGGUCAGUCUUUGUCCAAUAGCAGGAUGAAUGAGGAAGAUGAUGAUGCCACUAAAGAAUUGCAGCCUGCUGAUCCUAACGAACCAGGUGUUUAGAGUACCAUUUAACCAUUUAAAGACACAUGAUGGAAAUGAAAUUAAGGAACUUAGGUGAGAAAAAAGUAGAAAUUACUAUUGAAAAAAGAGAGAAUUCAUCUCAAAGUUGCUUACUUGGCUGGUUGAUUUUGAUGUUUAGCUUGGUCAAUCAGUUCUAGUGUUAUGAGUUGAUUUUUAUUUAUCAGAAUUUUAGUUAUCUUUAUUCUGAUAAACUUUUUGGACGUUGAAUCACAAUGUAACUAACAUUAUUUUCUCAAUUUUGGUGAUUGUUUUAUAGGCUGGUU